GACGAACCGAGCGAACGUUGUUCGGAAUCACUGGGCUUAAAGGGCGCGUAGGCGGGCAUUCUAGUCUAUGGUGAAAUCCGGCAGCUUAACUGUCGAACUGCCGUGGAUACUGGAUGUCUCGAGGGAGGUAGGGGCGUGCGGAACUAUUGGUGGAGCGGUGAAAUGCGUUGAUAUCAAUAGGAACUCCGGUGGCGAAGGCGGCACGCUGGACCUCUUCUGACGCUGAGGCGCGAAAGCCAGGGGAGCAAACGGG
rnacentral:rRNA from 1 species